rnacentral:lncRNA from 1 species
GACAGCCCCUCUGAUGAGGAGGCCACUGGGCUGAGACCAAUGAAUGAGAUGGAGCCAGCCACGUGGUGAGCCAGAAGAGGGCAUCACAGGGCUUGAGUCUGGGGGAGCCUGGCUGCCCAGAGGUGGCAGAUGACAUGAAGAAAUAACCAUGUAAGGGCUGGCUGUGUAUGAGAGCAAGCAUUGGGAAGGAUGAAUGCCAACUAUGUUCCAGGAACUUCCACUGUUCUCACACACCCAGGUGAGUGGUGUUCAGGUGGGUGGCACCCAGGUGAGUGACAUCCCAGUUGAGUGGCACCCAGGUGAGUAGCAUCCAGGUGAGUGACACCUAGGUGAGUGACAUUCAGGUUAGUGGCGUCUGUGUGAGUGGCAUCAUCCAGGUGAGUAGCUUCCAGGUGAGUGGCACCCAGGUGAGUGGCAUUCGGGUGAGUGGCAUUAUCCAGGUGACACCUGGGUGAGUGGCAUCCAGGUGAGUGAUAUCAUCCAGGUAAGUGGCACCUAGGUGACAUCCAGGUGAGUGACGACAUCCAGGUGAGUGACAUCAUCCAGGUAAAUGGCACCCAGGUGAGUAGCAUUCAGGUGAGUGACACCCAGGCGAGUGGCAUCCACGUGACUAGCAUUGUCCAGGUGCAUAACACCCAGGUGAGUGGCACCCAGUUGAGUGGUGCCCAAGUGAGUCACAUCCAGGUAAGUGGGGUCCAGGUGGUGGCACCCAGGCGAGUGGUGCCCAGGUGAGUGACAGCCAGGUGAAUGGUGUCCAGGUGAGUGGCAUCACCCAGGUGAAUGGUGUCCAGGUGAGUGGCAUCCAGGUAAGUGGUGUCCAGGUGGUGGCACCCAGGUGA